UUUAAGGUUGGAGAUGGAUUUCAACGUUUGGAUUGAAGAGUCCUAGCCACUCUUUGGAUUACAAAGUACAAAAUUGGUUAAAGAGUUAAUAAAUUGGAAAAAUUAAGAUAUACAUAAGAUUAGAGAUGGUUUAAAGUAUGAGAUGAGACUACAACUUUUUGAUUGACGACACCAAACCGUUCCUUGGAUUGAAGUGUAGAUGAUUGGAUGUAAAGCUAGGAAAACGGACGAAUAAAGGUCUUUAGAAGACUCAUGGACGAUAUAUUGAAAGGGAAAAAACACAAAUUUGUUAUUGAUAGUCAUGUAUCCCGUGAUGAAGGAAGAUAAGAAACGAUAAGAGAAUUUUGGAUUAGAGUAUGAUAAAGUUACUUCUUAGACAUGUGGGCGAUUUGUUAUAGUGAUUUACGUUGGAAGAUAAAGUUAGAGGUUAUAUGUUGUAAAUGGGAGAACAAAAAUUUGGUGUUGAUAAUGACGUAUUCCAUGAUAAAGGCAAAAGAGUAAUGAUUAAGAGAAUUUUGGAUUAAAGUAUGUGAUUGGACUUCAACUUUUAAUUCAAGAGGUCUAGCCGUUGUAAAGGCUAAAGUUCAAUUGGAGAGUUUGAAAAAUGGACGACUUAAACGAUAUUGAAGAUAAGAGAAUUUUGGUUUAAGGUUGGAGAUGGACUUCAACGUUUGGAUUGAAGAGUCCUAGCCACUCUUUGGAUUUCAAAGUACAAAAUUGGUUGAAGAGUUCAUAAAUUGGAAAAAUUAAGUGAUACAUAAGAUUAGAGGUGGUUUUAAAUAUGAGAUGAGACCACAACUUUUUGAUUGACGACACCAAGCCGUUCUUUGGAUUGAAGUGUAGAUAAUUGGAUGUAAAGCUAAGGAAACGGACGAAUAAAGGUCUUUAGAAGACUCAUGGACGAUAUAUUAGAAGGGAGAAAACACAAAUUUGUUAUUAAUAGUCAUGUAUCUCAUGACGAAGGAAGAUAAGAAACGAUAAGAGACUUUUGGAUUAAAGUAUGAUAAAGUUACUUCUUAGACAUGUGGGCGAUUUGUUAUAGUGAUUGAUGUUGGAAGAUAAAGUUAGAGUAGAUAUGUUGUAAAUGGGAGAACAAAAAUUUGGUGUUGAUAAUGACGUAUUCCAUGAUGAAGGCAAAAGAGUAAUGAUUAAGAGAAUUUUGGAUUAAAGUAUGUGAUUGAACUUCAACUUUUGAUUCAAGAGGUCUAACCGUUGUAAAGGCUAAAGUUAAAUUGGAGAGUUUGAAAAAUGGAUAAUUUAAAAGAUAUUGAAGAUAAGAGAAUUUUGGUUUAAGGUUGGAGAUGGACUUCAACGUUUGGAUUGAAGAGUCGUAGCCACUCUUUGGAUUUCAAAGUACAAAAUUGGUUGAAGUGUUCAUAAAUUGGAAAAAUUAAGAGAUACAUAAGAUUAGAGAUGGUUUUAAGUAUGAAAGAUGAGACUAUAACUUUUUGAUUGACGACAACAAGCGAUUCUUUGGAUUGAAGUGUAGAUAAUUGGAUGUAAAGCUAAGGAAACGGACGAAUAAAGGUUUUCAGAAGACUCAUGGACGAUAUAUUGGAAGGGAGAAAACACAAAUUUGUUAUUGAUAGUCAUGUAUCCCAUGAUGAAGGAAGAUAAGAAAUGAUAAGAGAAUUUUGGAUUAAAGUAUCAAAGUUACUUCUUAGACAUGUGGGCGAUUUGUUAUAGUGAUUGAUGUUGGAAGAUAAAGUUAGAGAUUAUAUGUUGUAAAUGGGAGAACAAAAAUUUUGUGUUGAUAAUGACAUAUUCCAUGAUGAACGCAAAAGAGUAAUGAUUAAGAGAAUUUUGGAUUAAAGUAUGUGAAUUAACUUCAACUUUUGAUUCAAGAAGUCUAACCGUUGUAAAGGCUAAAGUUAAAUUGGAGAGUUUGAAAAAUGGAUAAUUUAAAAGAUAUUGAAGAUAAGAGAAUUUUGGUUUAAGGUUGGAGAUGGACUUCAACGUUUGGAUUGAAGAGUCGUAGCCACCCUUUGGAUUUCAAAGUACAAAAUUGGUUGAAGUGUUCAUAAAUUGGAAAAAUUAAGAGAUACAUAAGAUUAGAGAUGGUUUUAAGUAUGAAAGAUGAGACUAUAACUUUUUGAUUGACGACAACAAGCGAUUCUUUGGAUUGAAGUGUAGAUAAUUGGAUGUAAAGCUAAGGAAACGGACGAAUAAAGAUUUUCAGAAUACUCAUGGACGAUAUAUUGGAAGGGAGAAAACACAAAUUUGUUAUUGAUAGUCAUGUAUCCCAUGAUGAAGGAAGAUAAGAAAUGAUAAGAGAAUUUUGGAUUAAAGUAUGAUAAAGUUACUUCUUAGACAUGUGGGCGAUUUGUUAUAGUGAAUGAUGUUGAAAGAUAAAGUUAGAGAUUAUAUGUUGUAAAUGGGAGAACAAAAAUUUUGUGUUGAUAAUGACAUAUUCCAUGAUGAACGCAAAAGAGUAAUGAUUAAGAGAAUUUUGGAUUAAAGUAUGUGAAUUAACUUCAACUUUUGAUUCAAGAAGUCUAGCCGUUGUAAAGGCUAAAGUUCAGUUGGAGAGUUUGAAAAAUGGACGACUUAAAAGAUAUUGAAGAUAAGAGAAUUUUGGUUUAAGGUUGGAGAUGGACUUCAACGUUUGGAUUGAAGAGUCCUAGCCACUCUUUUGAUUUCAAAGUACAAAAUUGGUUGAAGAGUUCAUAAAUUGGAAAAAUUAAGUGAUACAUAAGAUUAGAGGUGGUUUUAAGUAUGAGAUGAGACCACAACUUUUUGAUUGACGACACCAAGCCGUUCUUUGGAUUGAAGUGUAGAUAAUUGGAUGUAAAGCUAAGGAAACGGACGAAUAAAGAUUUUCAGAAGACUCAUGGACGAUAUAUUGGAAGGGAGAAAACACAAAUUUGUUAUUGAUAGUCAUGUAUCCCAUGAUGAAGGAAGAUAAGAAACGAUAAGAGAAUUUUGGGUUAAAGUAUGAUAAAGUUACUUCUAAGACAUGUGGACGAUUUGUUAUAGUGAUUUAUAUUGAAAAUAAAGUUAGAGGUUAUAUGUUGUAAAUGGGAGAACAAAAAUUUGGUGAUGAAGGCAAAAGAGUAAUGAUUAAGAGAAUUGUGCAUUAAAGUAUGUAAUUGAACUUCAACUUUUGA